AUGCAUAAUCAAAUAUAUAAGUAAAAAUUGACAUUUCCUUUGAGAACUACUUGGACAGUGACCUGAACAUCUCAAGAAAAACCUUGGUGGAAUUGCACGAACCUGAUUUGGGUCAAAAUUAAGCACCACGCUGAAAAUCAUGCCUUUGUGAAAUGACAAAUUGAAAGUGUUCAGAAAUUGCAUUUGAACUAGUUGAGAUCCUGAUACAGCUAAAUGCACUCUGAGACAGGGACAUUCUAGAAGAAGCUCCAGUUUUCUGGCUUUAUCAGUGGAUCCAUUUUCUAUAACAGCACAUUCAGAAGGAGAAGGCAACAGGCCUUGGGAAGUGGGGAGAAAGGAUGACCUUGGUUCAGGACAUGCUUAGCAGUGCUGGAGGGACAACAGGGCCCAUGGACAAACCACACAUGCCAGUGUCCCUGCUGUUAGGGAGGGGUCAUAUUGAUGGACUCUGACCAAUAGCAUGUGAUGACUUCUCUUCCUACACCUGUCAGCUGGGAGCUGAGAAUCCAGGGGGAAGCUUCUAAGGCUCCAGGAGGAUGAGCUUUUAGAUGGAAGGAACCUGAGUCCCUGAGUGACUUGGUGGAGAACCUCCACCCCCUAAUCAGCUACACUGGACGUGACACGAGUGAAAAAUAAACACUGGGCAUGUUGCUUUU